AUUGAACGCUGGCGGCAGGCCUAACACAUGCAAGUCGAGCGGAUGAAGGGAGCUUGCUCCUGGAUUCAGCGGCGGACGGGUGAGUAAUGCCUAGGAAUCUGCCUGGUAGUGGGGGAUAACGUCCGGAAACGGGCGCUAAUACCGCAUACGUCCUGAGGGAGAAAGUGGGGGAUCUUCGGACCUCACGCUAUCAGAUGAGCCUAGGUCGGAUUAGCUAGUUGGUGGGGUAAAGGCCUACCAAGGCGACGAUCCGUAACUGGUCUGAGAGGAUGAUCAGUCACACUGGAACUUAGACACGGUCCCGACUCCUACGGGAGGCAGCAGUGGGGAAUAUUGGACAAUGGGCGAAAGCCUGAUCCAGCCAUGCCGCGUGUGUGAAGAAGGUCUUCGGAUUGUAAAGCACUUUAAGUUGGGAGGAAGGGCAGUAAGUUAAUACCUUGCUGUUUUGACGUUACCAACAGAAUAAGCACCGGCUAACUUCGUG
rnacentral:rRNA from 1 species